AUGGUAAUCCUGCUCAGUACAAGAGAAAUUACAAGUUCAGACAUUUGGUGUAUGUGCUUGGCUGUAGAGCCAAUGGGGUGAAGCUACCAUCUGUGGGAUUAUGAAUGAAUGUCUCUAAGUCAGAAUCCUGCCCAGAAA
rnacentral:ncRNA from 1 species